rnacentral:rRNA from 1 species
AUGAAGGAGAUCACGACGAAGAAGAAGAAGACGACGAAGAAGCCGUCGGUUGUCGUCAGUGCUGGCGAGACCGAUGAGGAGGCGAUGACGAGGUUUGCUCGGGAGCAUCCGAAGUACGUCCAGGCCGAGAUGGAGUACUACUGGAAGCGUGAGGCGGAGAAGAAGAAGAAGAAGGGGCCGAAGAAGGAGGAUGAGGCCGGUCCCUCGACGGUGAUCCCCAUCGAGUCCUCUUCCGAGGAGGACUGGGAAGACUUCUUGGAGGAGGAGGAGGAGGAGGAGGAGGAGGGGCGCGACGACCCGACGAAGGAGGAGUUCUGGGAGCAGUUCCGUAGCUCCGAUGAGGAGUAG